rnacentral:rRNA from 1 species
AAAUCAACCGAGAUUCCCUUAGUAGCGGCGAGCGAACGGGGACCAGCCCUUAAGCAAUUUUUUGAUUAGUAGAAUGUUCUGGAAAGUUCAACGACACAGGGUGAUAGUCCCGUAUACGAAAAUCUUUUAAUUGUGAAAUCGAGUAAGGCGGCGCACGUGAAACGCUGUUUGAAAAUGGGGGGACCACCCUCCAAGGCUAAAUACUCUCUACUGACCGAUAGUGAACAAGUACCGUGAGGGAAAGGCGAAAAGAACCCCGGGAGGGGAGUGAAAUAGAACCUGAAAUCGUAUGCAUACAAGCAGUGGGAGCAGACUUGUUCUGUGACUGCGUACCUUUUGUAUAAUGGGUCAGCGACUUACUUCUCAGUAGCAAGGUUAACCAUUAGGGGAGCCGUAGGGAAACCGAGUCUUAAAUGGGCGUUUAGUUGCUGGGAGUAGACCCGAAACCGGGUGAUCUAUCCAUGGCCAGGGUGAAGGUUAGGUAAAACUAACUGGAGGCCCGAACCCACUUAUGUUGAAAAAUGAGGGGAUGAGCUGUGGAUAGGGGUGAAAGGCCAAACAAACCCGGAGAUAGCUGGUUCUCUCCGAAAUCUAUUUAGGUAGAGCGUCAUGUAUUACUUCUGGGGGUAGAGCACUGUUAUGGCUAGCGGGUCGUCAAGACUUAGUAAACCAUUGCAAACUCCGAAUACCAGAAAGUAUGAGCAUGGCAGACACACUGCGGGUGCUAACGUCCGUAGUGGAAAGGGAAACAACCCAGACCGUCAGCUAAGGUCCCAAAAUUAUAGUUAAGUGGGAAACGAUGUGAAAAGGCAUAGACAGCCAGGAGGUUGGCUUAGAAGCAGCCAUUCCUUUAAAGAGUGCGUAAUAGCUCACUGGUCGAGUCGGUUUGCGCGGAAGAUUUAACGGGGCUAAACUAUAUACCGAAGCUGCGGAUCGCAAUUUAUUGCGAUGGUAGGAGAGCGUUCUGUAAGCCGUUGAAGGUGAACUGUGAGGUUUGCUGGAGGUAUCAGAAGUGCGAAUGCUGACAUGAGUAACGAUAAAGGGGGUGAAAAACCCCCUCGCCAGAAGUCCAAGGUUUCCUACGCAACGUUAAUCGGCGUAGGGUUAGUCGGCCCCUAAGGCGAGGCAGAAAUGCGUAGUCGAUGGGAAACGGGUUAAUAUUCCCGUACUUCAUAUAACUGCGAUGGGAAGACGGAGAAGGUUAGCUCAGCAAGGCGAUGGUUGUCCUUGUUCAAGCGUGUAGAAAUGGUUCUUAGGAAAAUCCGGGAACCUCUAUUUCAAGGCGUGAUAACGAUCCCUCUUUUGGGAGAAGUGAGUGAUACCAUGCUUCCAGGAAAAUCCUCUAAGCUUCAGGUUAUAUGAAACCGUACCCCAAACCGACACAGGUGGACGAGAUGAGAAUUCUAAGGCGCUUGAGAGAACUCGGGUGAAGGAACUAGGCAAAAUGACACCGUAACUUCGGGAGAAGGUGUACUCUUGUUAUGUGAAAUCACUCGCUGAUAGAGCAGAAAAGAGUUGAAAAUACUAGGUGGCUGCGACUGUUUAUUAAAAACACAGCACUCUGCAAACACGUAAGUGGACGUAUAGGGUGUGACUCCUGCCCGGUGCUUGAAGGUUAAUUGAUGAGGUUAGCGCUUGCGCGAAGCUUUUGAUCGAAGCCCAAGUAAACGGCGGCCGUAACUAUAACGGUCCUAAGGUAGCGAAAUUCCUUGUCGGGUAAGUUCCGACCUGCACGAAUGGAGUAACGACGGCCACACUGUCUCCACCCGAGACUCAGUGAAAUUGAAAUUGCUGUUAAGAUGCAGUAUACCCGCGGCCAGACGGAAAGACCCCGUGCACCUUUACUACAGCUUUGCAUUGAACUCUGAUCCUACUUGUGUAGGAUAGGUGGGAGGCUUUGAAGCUUUAACGCUAGUUAGAGUGGAGCCACCCUUGAAAUACCACCCUGGUAUGGUUGGGGUUCUAACCUAGGUCCGUAAUCCGGAUCGGGAACAAUGCAUGGUGGGUAGUUUGACUGGGGCGGUCUCCUCCCAAAGAGUAACGGAGGAGCGCAAAGGUAUCCUCAGCACGGUCGGACAUCGUGCAAUGAGCGCAAAGGUAAAAGGAUGCUUGACUGCGAGACUGACACGUCGAGCAGGUAGGAAACUAGGUCUUAGUGAUCCGGUGGUUCUGAGUGGAAGGACCAUCGCUCAACGGAUAAAAGGUACGCCGGGGAUAACAGGCUGAUACCC